rnacentral:rRNA from 3 species
AAUUUUAAAGAGUUUGAUCCUGGCUCAGG